UACGGGGGGGGUAAGCGUUGUUCGGAAUUACUGGGCGUAAAGGGCUCGUAGGCGGCCAACUAAGUCAGACGUGAAAUCCCUCAGCUUAACUGGGGAACUGCGUCUGAUACUGGAUGGCUCGAGUGUGGGAGAGGAAUGCGGAAUUCCAGGUGUAGCGGUGAAAUGCGUAGAUAUCUGGAGGAACACCGGUGGCGAAGGCGGCAUUCUGGACCACAACUGACACUGAGAGACGAAAGCCAGGGGAGCAAACGGG
rnacentral:rRNA from 1 species